CCUACGGGGGGCAGCAGUGGGGAAUAUUGCACAAUGGGGGAAACCCUGAUGCAGCGACGCCGCGUGAGUGAAGAAGGAAUUCGUGAUGUAAAGCUCUAGCAGCAGGGAAGAAAAUGACGGUACCUGAGUAAGAAGCCCCGGCUAACUACGUGCCAGCAGCCGCGGUAAUACGUAGGGGGCAAGCGUUAUCCGGAUUUACUGGGUGUAACGGGAGCGUAGACGGCAGGGCAAGUCUGGAGUGAAAGGCGGGGGCUCAACCCCCGGACUGCUCUGGAAACUGUACGGCUGGAGUGCAGGAGAGGUAAGUGGAAUUCCUAGUGUAGCGGUGAAAUGCGUAGAUAUUAGGAGGAACACCAGUGGC
rnacentral:rRNA from 1 species